GAAGCCCGCCAGACCACCGCUGGUGCAAUCUGGGAAACCAGGCACUGGAGGAACGUCCGGACUGCAUAGGGCAGCGUAGCAGCUAACGGCUGUCCACUGAAGGCAUUGCACGCAAGUGUGGUGCCCCAAGGUGAGGAUUAGAGCAACAGAGACGAGCCGAUUCAGUUCGGGUGAAACGGGCAAUCUCUACGCGCAGCAAUACCAAGUAGGCCAACGUUGACGGGGCCCCCGGAGUUGGCGGGUAGGUAGCAUCGAGCCGCUGGGUGACCAGCGGCCCAGAGUAAUGGUGGUCACACGAGGGGAAACUUUCGUGCACAGAAUCCGGCUUAUCGGUGGGCUUCACAC
rnacentral:RNase_P_RNA from 1 species